rnacentral:lncRNA from 1 species
UGCAAAUAGAUAGUCCAAUUCCUAUAUUUAAGGGAGAACAACUCCACCAACCAAAAACACAUAAUAAAAUAACAACUUAAUUUGAGGAAAGGCUGCAAAAGAAGGAUAAAUCAAAAGAAAAACCCGGAACGUUUCGAAAUAGUUACAGUUCCAUUAUCAACGGGAAACAAAAGUUUAAAAAAAGGAGUCGUUGAUUCGCUGUUAUUGCGAGACUGAGACACUAUAUUUUCCUAUUUAAUAUAACCGACAGAGUUUGUAAAAAUGGCAACUCGAUCGGAGAGCCUAUUGCAGGAAGGAGCGGACGCGAAGGGAGUAAGGGGACGUCUAAAAGGUGCGAAAAUCUCCGGCCAAUUUGACAGAUUGGGGGGCUGAGGACCCCCGGGGGGGGAUUCGCCACGGGUGAGGAUAUCUUGAUAGCGAUCGCCCGGGCCCGAGAAGAGCGUAUCGAGCGAAUGUGAUUUUUCCCCCUAUAAGAGAAUUGAGAGGGGGCCCGCGACCACAUUGUCAUCUCGAUCCGCGAUCCGUCAGCACUGUACAACAUGUUUCCGUUCCCGAUUGUGUUGCUGUGUUUUGGCGCGGUGGCGCUCGCCGCCGAAAGAUCGCCGGAGGCGCAUGGACGUCAAGUUGUGUUGACCCAGCUCAUUCUGCCGAACGGACAAUAUCCAGGCCCGGCCAAAGUUAUCGAAGCAGCCGCCCCUCUGCCUGCAAGACAAGUCUCGUAUACUAUCCCCCAGCUCAAACCUAAUUACGUUGACGGGUUCCAAUAUUACCCGGUUUUCCCGGGUCAGGCACCUGUGCCUUAUGGUGCAAGUCCUUUCGUCUACUACCAGCCUGGCGCUCCCUAUCCAGCUUAUGUUCGAGACGAACAAGGAAGUGGACAAGGUGGAUGGGGUUCACUCUUCAGUAAUUUUCAAAAUUAUUUCCCGAAUUAUUUCCAACAAGGCUCAAGUGGAGCGCAAGGAGAAGGAGAACACAAUGAGGAGCAAGCAGAGGAGCAGGGAGACAAGCAGAAGCCCCAGAAAGUGCAACAACAAAUCCAGCAACAGCAGCUCCAGCAACAACAAUUCCAGCAACAACAAGAGCAACUCCAACAGCAACAGAUCCAACAAGUUCAGCAGCAGAUCAAGCUUCAACAAGAACAGCUCCAACAGCAGCAGCCAUCCCAGGUGUUCUACAACCAGCAACCGGCGCCUGAGAGCGUAGGCAACCAGAAGGACGGAGCUCCUGCCGGUUUGCAGAACCCGGCAGCGACCGCCCAGUUCCCCCAGUUCCUGUACGGCGCUCAGCCCCAGUUUUUCGGGCAGUACCCGUCGCAGAACCGCGUGAGCCAGGACCCUGACAAAUUGACCGCGGCCUCUCACGGCGCUGUCUCCAACUACUUGUUCCUUAAAAACCAGCAACAACCCGCAUUCCAACACACGCAACAGCGGUACGAGAGUCCAGCAGCAGAAACCGCUCCACUGGCGGCCGGCGGUCGCGGGCGACCCGCAGCUGCGGCGGCCCCGGGGAAAAGACUCGAGCUGGAGAGAUAUUCGGCCGACGCCAAGAACCAAAGAUCUCCUCUUUACGCCCAGCACGUCUCUGCGUUGCAGGUUUCCGCCGACCCCGCCUCUAUCCAAGGUCCCUCCAACGUCUAAAAAUCCACAGUCAUCUGAUCGCUCAAGCGUCACCUGAAGCUCUGGCCGCCGCGGGGCAAGGAGGCAUGGCAGGCGCAGGCCCCACCGGGCAGGCCAUCGUAGGGGACAGGGGGCUCGCCCUCUCGGCGCCCAAAAGCACGGCCAUCGCCGGUCACCCCGACAUUGAGGUCGUCAUCACCGGAGACAAGAAACCCGGCUCCAAACCCAAAAAGCCCGUCGCCAAAUAUUCAAAGAGCAAAGGCUACCACAUCGACUACUCCUCUUGAGGUCUCCAUUCCACCACCGACUAAAUUCUGCACACGGGAAGGAGGACCUUUGGAUUAUCCUCGUUUCCUUCCCACUGUUUUACCAUGACUGUUCCUUACCGUGAUCUAAUCGACGAAUUUCCUUGACAGAAUAUUGGCAUCUGUUUUGCCGUUCUAAGGAAAAACGCCGUAUGAACCGUCAGGCGUUGCCAAACUUCCAUUUAAAAAACACGGAUUUCCUGGUAAACUCAUGAAUAUUUUUCUUCCGAUUUUUCAGAUAAUGUUGUUUGCAAUUUAACAUGAAAAUCCUGAAAAUUUCAAGGAAAAAUAGUCAUAACCUUCCUCAAAAUAAACAUUUUAUCGAAGGAAAUUUGGCAACUCUCGAAUGUUCAUACGGCGUUCUUCCUUAGCACGGCAGCGUUGGUCAUCAUUAGGCGAAGAAUUACAGUAAUGCAUAUACUAAGGCGAAGUUUGUAAAAUGUAUGUCCUAGUUGAGUUAACAGCUAUUACGUGAGAGUUUCGCCACUUUCCGUUAAAACUUUGAAGAUGACUCAAAAUUUAAUUUUGUAGCGUAAAAUUUACCAACAUUUUCCCUGUCAUUUAUUAUUCGUUUAGGGAUAGUUUCCUGUCUAUUCCGAAUAAUUUAAGCCAGCCAGCUUUAACGUUUGCUGAUCCUAAAGUGUAUGUGCCAUUUUAUUUUUUAUGCUAAGUAGGGUUGGAGUAUUAAAAUGCUCGGAGAUUUCUUUGGUAUCCAUGCAAAUGCGACGUCGAAUGCAUCUUAUGAUCACCACAAACAUUUGCUUGAUCUCGUUCUGUUUUUUAUUAUUUUUGGGUCAUAUUUCUCAAGUAUUUACUGUAUCUACACGGCUUCUAAUUGAAAACAAUUUUGAAAAAAAUUUGAAAAUUAUAAGUUUGGCUGUUUUACGAUGAGCCUCAAUUUAAAACAUUAAUUUUCAAUUUGAAAAUGAAAAUUUAAAGUCGAGUCUUUCAUCUUGGGUUCAUCAUGGAUCCUAGCUCUAUUUAAAAUCAGUGGGUUUUCACUUUCCGUCCAUACAUUCUAUUGGUCCAAAAUGGGUUCUUGAUAGUCAAGUCAAUUUUUAUUUAAUGUAGAAGGGCUGUUCAAGAAAUCCAAUAAGUUCAUAAUUCGUGCCGCUUGUGUAUUAACAAGGACGGCUCAGUGUGAAUCUUGUAUUGUAUACUUGGAACUGUAAGAUAGGUUUCUUAUAAUUUUUUUUGUUUCGUUUUCCUACUUUUAUUGUCCAUUUCCCUUGACGAGACUUCGAUUCAAUAUUGGUAAACUUUCCUUGCAGUGCUCAAGUUUUGAAUCAUAGGAACAGAUUGAAUUGAAAGUAAUGUGGAUGAAUAAACGUUUGGGAAAAAUCUGUACGCAAAAAUUGCUAAUUACGUGUCUCACUUUCCCAUCAUCCCUCUCUGUUUAAAAAUACACUCUGUAUUUGUCACAUAAUCUCUGCAUCCUGCUAUUUAUGAAGAAACUGUCACUGUACGUACAUUGAAAUUCCUUCUUCAGUCGACAGUAUACCUAAGUAUGCUUUAUUGCAAUAAUUUCACAAUGACUCAGAUGGAAGCUAUCUGAAUGACAAAUUGUGCGCCUGAUUCAUUUUCAAAUCGCAGACGGGUUGAUAUUUAACAGCAGACUGUAAGCAUUUUAAUUCUUCUUUUGGAUUCUAGUUACUUUUGUCAUACUUUUUGGAAGUCAUAAGGUCAAGAAGAUGUAAAGAAUUCGUUAAAACCCAAUAAUUUUCAGAAAUGCUUCCCACCAAAAAUAUUGAUAAAAUUCCAGAAACAAAAUGUGGCAAGAUGAUAUUGCUUUUCAAAUAGAGUGGAGUCUCUUCUCUAGUAUUAACGGCAAGAGGAAUAUAAUAUAGACUGCUUUAAACAGAAAGGAACCAAGCCACAUCAGCAUUUGCCAAAUUUGAUUGAGCAAUUUAAUUUUUACAUG